rnacentral:lncRNA from 1 species
CGUGGAGGAAGGGGGCGAGGUCGGGGGCGCACGUGUAGAGUUGUGCUGAAGACAACAGACACCUCCAUGACAACCCAAAGUAUCACAGAGGAAAUGAAAAGCUGUGGACUCAUUCAAAGUUAAUUAAGAUUAGGUAUGACCAUGGAAGACUUGUGUAUGACCAUGGAAGACUUCUAGAGAAUCUUGACUGGUGAUGUGGAAAAAGAGACCCAGAAGAACAAAAAAACAGGUGACUGUAAUGCUGGUCCCCCUGUGCAGGAACAGCUCAGGAGACUGUCGGAGACAUGAGUGUCCUUGUAGAAGCCAGCAGUCUUGUUGGCUGUCAGGUCCUCAGGACUUAGUAUUAUUACAUGUCAUCCUUUCAUGUGGCAUGAAUGAGGAUUUAUAAAGCCCUAUUACGGUUUGGUUAUGCAGUCCAAACAGACUUACAAAGAUUUACAGAUUAAUUUUACUGCUCAAGCAUAGAGCAGAGACUCCUCAUUAGCUAAUUUGUGCAUACUACACUUUCCGUACACGUGUUACUGCAAAAAUGUCCCUACAGUGUUACCAGAGCUGGGGCAGGAAGUAAGGGUGGAAUUCCUGAGCUCACUGACACUGAUGCUGAAGGAAGCAGGAGGUGGGCGGAGCUGGCAGUGGUGAGAGCCACGUGGAUACAUGGGAUGGUGGAGGAGUCAGGAAAAGUUAGUAGCUAGCUGAGACUGUCCUAGCAAAAGACCAACAGCUUUAUUUUCUUCAAAAUUUAAUAAUAAACUGUAGAAAUAAACUAUUUUGAAAGAGUAGUUCAUAGAUUCCAUUGAGAAUGUAAUUAAUUGAC